rnacentral:rRNA from 1 species
AUUGAACGCUGGCGGAAUGCUUUACACAUGCAAGUCGAACGGCAGCACGGACUUCGGUCUGGUGGCGAGUGGCGAACGGGUGAGUAAUGUAUCGGAACGUGCCCAGUCGUGGGGGAUAACGUAGUGAAAAUUACGCUAAUACCGCAUACGAUCUAUGGAUGAAAGCGGGGGAUCGCAAGACCUCGCGCGAUUGGAGCGGCCGAUAUCAGAUUAGGUAGUUGGUGGGGUAAAGGCCCACCAAGCCAACGAUCUGUAGCUGGUCUGAGAGGACGACCAGCCACACUGGAACUGAGACACGGUCCAGACCCCUACGGGAGGCAGCAGUGGGGAAUUUUGGACAAUGGGCGAAAGCCUGAUCCAGCCAUUCCGCGUGCAGGAUGAAGGCCCUCGGGUUGUAAACUGCUUUUGUACAGAACGAAAAGGUUUCUACUAAUACUAGGAGCUCAUGACGGUACUGUAAGAAUAAGCUCCGGCUAACUACGUGCCAGCCGCCGCUGUAA